GGUUUAAUUCGAAGCAACGCGAAGAACCUUACCAGGUCUUGACAUCCUCUGACAAUCCUAGAGAUAGGACCUUCCCCUUCGGGGGACAGAGUGACAGGUGGUGCAUGGUUGUCGUCAGCUCGUGUCGUGAGAUGUUGGGUUAAGUCCCGCAACGAGCGCAACCCUUGUCCUUAGUUGCCAGCAUUUAGUUGGGCACUCUAAGGAGACUGCCGGUGACAAACCGGAGGAAGGUGGGGAUGACGUCAAAUCAUCAUGCCCCUUAUGACCUGGGCUACACACGUGCUACAAUGGAUGGUACAAAGGGUUGCGAGACCGCGAGGUUUAGCCAAUCCCAUAAAACCAUUCUCAGUUCGGAUUGUAGGCUGCAACUCGCCUACAUGAAGCCGGAAUCGCUAGUAAUCGUGGAUCAGCAUGCCACGGUGAAUACGUUCCCGGGUCUUGUACACACCGCCCGUCACACCACGAGAGUUUGUAACACCCGAAGUCGGUGGGGUAACCGCAAGGAGCCAGCCGCCUAAGGUGGGACAGAUGAGGGGUGA
rnacentral:rRNA from 1 species